rnacentral:lncRNA from 1 species
GGACCAUUGGAGCACAUGGACAUAGACUUUUUCAUUUUAUUCUCAAAAAUGACUCUUGGAAUUAGUGUUCAGUUAUAUUCAUUUAACAGUUGAGGAAACUAAGGCUCAGAGAGAAUUAAUACACCCUCCAAGGUCGCUUAGCAAACCCACAAGUUUCCUCAGUGGAAAACCUGGGAAUAGAAUAGGGUGUUUUGACUCCUAACUGAGGAAUCUUUGCCAACCUACAUUAGGUACACUUUUCUUGGUAUAAAAAUGCAUAUCCUUCUCACUGCCCUUGCCACAAUGUUCAGUAAUUCCCUGCUUAUAAGACUUUCUUAUCCACUGCUUUGAUCCUUAUGAUCAGUAGCUGGGAGUAAUUCAGUUUUACAUCCUUGGUGUCUAGCAUAGUAUCAGGCAUGGAGGAAAUGUUCAAUAAGUACAUGUUGAAUGAAUGAAUCAAUGCUGAGUACAUGUAUGUAAGCAUGAUGGAAUGAUUAUUAUAUGAUUAAACAAAUUUCUUGAUUACAAAACUCUGCCUCUUUGUAAGCUCAUGAAGACUUGUUUUUAAAAAGUAACAUAGCUGUUGAAAAAAUAAGUAAGACCAAAAACUGGUAAGCAACUGCUUUAUCUUUUUCAUUUCAAGUAGAAAACUUCCAUGUUUAGAGCCAUUAUGUGUCAUUAUAGCCUAAAAAGAAAAUGAACAACAAUAAAGAAAAAUACUCUGAAUUCUUCUCUGGCAGCUUAGAUCACAAUGACCUUUAGUUAGAUCACUAAGCACUUGGUUAGAUCACCAAGACCUGAGCGUUUUUUCCUCCCUCAUCUCCAUAUUUUGCUGACCUCAAUUUCUGCUUUGCUUUUUGGGAAUAGGUGAAAAUCUGACAUAAAAUGAAGCAAGAAACCAGAGGCAGAGCAGGGGUGGAGGCAAAGUGGAAGCUUUAGGUUUGCCCUGGGCCAGCCUCAAACCACGCAGAACAACGUGAUCCAUCCUUGGACCAGUUACUCGACCAGACAAGCUUUCAGCUUCCCAAUCCAAAACAGCAACUAUGAUAGG